CCUCUCGGGGGUAAGCGGGCAGAACUUGCAAGUAAUGGUGGGAAUAUUCAAGCUUAAUAUUGGCAGAUGAGGGUACUCUUUUAUGUGCUCCGUUCGCGGGGUUGCUGAUGUGUGCUCUUUUACUGUUGAUGAUGCGCUGCAUUUAUUUCCAUCUACGGGUUGCAUGUGAUUGAGAGUGUAGUUUAGGUGCUGAGGAUCUGUGAAGUCUUGUUAUUUCAAGUCUUGGUUUCCAACUACCUCUGCGAUCAUUGAAUCAUGAGCAGGCGUUUGACGCGGUCAAUGGUUCGUACGAGUCGUGCACUUACGAUAUGUAGACGGGUAACCGUAGCAUGUUGGAAGCGGCUGGCUGUCAGUAUGGGCUGAUUGGCACUGUUCUAGGAUUGCGAUCUAAUGCAUGCGUGGUCUGCCUGU
rnacentral:rRNA from 1 species